CAACAGCAACAACCGCGAUCGGAGCCCACAUGCACAGCCCAGAAAACGGUUCGGCCCAACACAGGCCAGGACAAACCGUUUUGCUUCUAUAUAUGGCCUUGUUUAGUUCCUCGAAAAUUUUACAAAAUUUUUCAGAUUCCCCAUCACAUCAAAUCUUUAGACGCAUACAUGAAGUAUUAAAUAUAGAUGAAAAUAAAAACUAAUUACACAGUUUGGUCGGAAUUGACGAGAUGAAUCUUUUGAGCCUAGUUAAUUCAUGAUUAGACAAUAUUUGUCAAAUACAAACGAAAGUGCUACUAUUCCUAUUUUGCAAAAAAUUUUAGAACUAAACAAGACCAUAGAUGAGAAAAAUCCCUACUGUUUGGAUCCUUAGAUUCUAACUAGAAACGCCGCGUGUGGCCAGU
rnacentral:lncRNA from 1 species